rnacentral:rRNA from 1 species
GACGUAGGCGCGAGCGUUGUCCGGAUUUAUUGGCGUAAAGAGCUCGUAGGCGGCUUGUCGCGUCGUCCGUGAAACCUGCAGCUCAACUGCAGGCUUGCGGUCGAUACGGGCAGGCUAGAGUUCGUAGGGAGACUGAAUUCCUGGUGUAGCGGUGAAUGCGCAGAUAUCAGAGGAACACCGUGCGAGGCGGUCUCUGGCCGAUACUGACGCUGAGGAGCGAAGCGUGGGAGC